rnacentral:rRNA from 1 species
UCAUGUUAACGGUAAGUUUCUAACUUACCGCUUAACAUCGAGUGUUAAAUAUGCUAGUCCUUUCAUGAUUAUGUGAUAGGUGGUGCAUGGCCGUUCUUAGUUCGUGGAGUGAUCUGUCUGCUUAAUUGCGUUUCACUAAGGGCCCAUAAAUUCAAGGUAUGUUAGCUCUCGUCGCUCUAUGGACCCCUUAACUCCAAUAUUCUUAUUGUGUUAAGCGCGUGUCUUUAUUUUAAGAGUUUUAAGACACUGCGCAUG